GGUUAAGUCCCGCAACGAGCGCAACCCUACGUUUAGUUGCUAACGCGUGAAGGCGAGCACUCUAGACGAACUGCCGUUGACAAAACGGAGGAAGGUGGGGGAUGACGUCAAAUCAUCAUGCCCCUUAUGUUCUGGGCUACACACGUGCUACAAUGGCCGGUACAGACGGACGCAAAGCCGCGAGGUGGAGCAAAUCCUAAAAAGCCGGUCUCAGUUCGGAUUGCAGGCUGCAAUUCGCCUGCAUGAAGUCGGAAUCGCUAGUAAUCGCAGGUCAGCAUACUGCGGUGAAUACGUUCCCGGGCCUU
rnacentral:rRNA from 1 species